rnacentral:rRNA from 1 species
GAAGUAUCUUGGUAUGUAAACCUCUUUUCUCAAGAAAGAAGUUCUGACGGUACUUGAGGAAUAAGCAUCGGCUAACUCCGUGCCAGCAGCCGCGGUAAUACGGAGGGUGCAAGCGUUGUCCGGAUUUAUUGGGUUUAAAGGGUUCGUAGGCGGGAAAUUAAGUCAGUGGUGAAAGCCUGCAGCUUAACUGUAGAAUUGCCAUUGAUACUGAUUUUCUUGAAUAUAUAUGAAGUGGGCGGAAUACGUCAUGUAGCGGUGAAAUGCACAGAUAUGACAUAGAACACCGAUAGCGAAGGCAGCUCACUAAUAUAUUAUUGACGCUCAGGAACGAAAGCAUGGGGAGCGAACAGGAUUAGAUACCCUGGUAGUCCACGCCCUAAAC